rnacentral:rRNA from 1 species
GAUGAACGCUGGCGGCGUGCCUAAUACAUGCAAGUCGAGCGAACAGAUGAGGAGCUUGCUCCUCUGACGUUAGCGGCGGACGGGUGAGUAACACGUGGAUAACCUACCUAUAAGACUGGGAUAACUUCGGGAAACCGGAGCUAAUACCGGAUAAUAUAUUGAACCGCAUGGUUCAAUAGUGAAAGACGGUUUUGCUGUCACUUAUCGAUGGAUCCGCGCCGCAUUAGCUAGUUGGUAAGGUAACGGCUUACCAAGGCAACGAUGCGUAGCCGACCUGAGAGGGUGAUCGGCCACACUGGAACUGAGACACGGUCCAGACUCCUACGGGAGGCAGCAGUAGGGAAUCUUCCGCAAUGGGCGAAAGCCUGACGGAGCAACGCCGCGUGAGUGAUGAAGGUCUUCGGACCGUAAAACUCUGUUAUUAGGGAAGAACAAAUGUGUAAGUAACUAUGCACGUCUUGACGGUACCUAAUCAGAAAGCCACGGCUAACUACGUG